rnacentral:misc_RNA from 1 species
GAUGAAGAACGCAGCGAAAUGCGAUACGUAAUGUGAAUUGCAGAAUUCAGUGAAUCAUCGAAUCUUUGAACGCAUAUUGCGCUCUUUGGUAUUCCGAAGAGCAUGCUUGUUUGAGUAUCAGUAAACACCUCAAAGCUUUUGGAUUUUUUAAUCGAAAAGCUUUGGACUUGAGCAAUCCCAACACCAAUCUUUUUGAGAUCGGUGGCGGGUUGCUUGAAAUGCAGGUGCAGCUGGACAUUCUCCUGAGCUAAAAGCAUAUUCAUUUAGUCCCGUCAAACGGAUUAUUACUUUUGCUGCAGCUAACAUAAAGGGAGUUUGACCGUAUUGGCUGACUGAUGCAGGAUUUCACAAGGGUCGGCAACGAUUCUUGUUAAACUCGAUCUCAAAUCAAGUAAGACUACCCGCUGAACUUAAGCAUAUCAAUGAGCGGAGGA